rnacentral:rRNA from 1 species
UACAGAGGUGGCAAGCGUUGUUCGGAAUUACUGGGCGUAAAGGGCGCGUAGGCGGCCUUCUAAGUCAGACGUGAAAUCCCCCGGCUUAACCUGGGAACUGCGUCUGAUACUGGGAGGCUUGAGUAUGGGAGAGGGAUGUAGAAUUCCAGGUGUAGCGGUGAAAUGCGUAGAUAUCUGGAGGAAUACCGGUGGCGAAGGCGGCAUCCUGGACCAUUCCUGACGCUGAGGUGCGAAAGCUAGGGGAGCAAACGGG